rnacentral:rRNA from 1 species
GACGAACGCUGGCGGCGUGCUUAACACAUGCAAGUCGAACGGUAAGGCCCUUCGGGGUACACGAGUGGCGAACGGGUGGGUAACACGUGGGUGAUCUGCCCUGCACUUCGGGAUAAGCCUGGGAAACUGGGCCUAAUACCGGAUAGGACCACUGCCUGCAGGGGUGGUGGUGGAAAGCUUUUGCGGUGUGGGAUGGGCCCGCGGCCUAUCAGCUUGUUGGUGGGGUGAUGGCCUACCAAGGCGACGACGGGUAGCCGGCCUGAGAGGGUGACCGGCCACACUGGGACUGAGAUACGGCCCAGACUCCUACGGGAGGCAGCAGUGGGGAAUAUUGCACAAUGGGCGCAAGCCUGGUGCAGCGACGCCGCGUGAGGGAUGACGGCCUUCGGGUUGUAAACCUCUUUCAGCACCGACGAAGCGCAAGUGACGGUAGGUGCAGAAGAAGGACCGGCCAACUACGUGCCAGCCGCCGCCGUAA